GAUGAACGCUAGCUACAGGCUUAACACAUGCAAGUCGCGGGGCAGCAUGGGGGUUGCUUGCAAUCCCCGAUGGCGACCGGCGCACGGGUGAGUAACGCGUAUCCAACCUGCCCUUCACCACGGGAUAACCCGGCGAAAGUCGGACUAAUACCGUAUGUUGUCCAUUGACGGCAUCCGAUUUGGACGAAAGGUUUGGCGGUGAAGGAUGGGGAUGCGUCCGAUUAGCUGGACGGCGGGGUGACGGCCCACCGUAGCGACGAUCGGUAGGGGUUCUGAGAGGAAGGUCCCCCACACUGGAACUGAGACACGGUCCAGACUCCUACGGGAGGCAGCAGUGAGGAAUAUUGGUCAAUGGGCGUAAGCCUGAACCAGCCAAGUAGCGUGCAGGAUGACGGCCCUAUGGGUUGUAAACUGCUUUUAUGCGGGGAUAAAGUGGCCCACGUGUGGGUUUUUGCAGGUACCGCAUGAAUAAGGACCGGCUAAUUCCGUG
rnacentral:rRNA from 1 species